AGAGUUUGAUCCUGGCUCAGGACGAACGCUGGCGGCGUGCCUAAUACAUGCAAGUCGAACGAGAAUUUCUUACACCGAGUGCUUGCACUCACCGUAAGAAAUUUGAGUGGCGGACGGGUGAGUAACACGUGGGUAACCUGCCCAAAAGAAGGGGAUAACAUUUGGAAACAAAUGCUAAUACCGUAUAACCAUGAUGACCGCAUGGUCAUUAUGUAAAAGGUGGUUUUGCUAUCGCUUUUGGAUGGACCCGCGGCGUAUUAACUAGUUGGUAGGGUAACGGCCUACCAAGGUGAUGAUACGUAGCCGAGUUGAGAGACUGAUCGGCCACAAUGGGACUGAGACACGGCCCAUACUCCUACGGGAGGCAGCAGUAGGGAAUCUUCCACAAUGGGCGCAAGCCUGAUGGAGCAACGCCGCGUGAAUGAAGAAGGUCUUCGGAUCGUAAAAUUCUGUUGUUAGAGAAGAAUAUGAGUAAUAGUAACUGAUUAUUCACUGACGGUAUCUAACCAGCAAGUCACGGCUAACUACGUGCCAGCAGCCGCGGUAAUACGUAGGUGGCAAGCGUUGUCCGGAUUUAUUGGGCGUAAAGGGAACGCAGGCGGUUUUUUAAGUCUGAUGUGAAAGCCUUCGGCUUAACCGGAGAUGUGCAUUGGAAACUGGAAGACUUGAGUGCAGAAGAGGAGAGUGGAACUCCAUGUGUAGCGGUGAAAUGCGUAGAUAUAUGGAAGAACACCAGUGGCGAAAGCGGCUCUCUGGUCUGUAACUGACGCUGAGGUUCGAAAGCAUGGGUAGCGAACAGGAUUAGAUACCCUGGUAGUCC
rnacentral:rRNA from 1 species